rnacentral:tRNA from 1 species
GCGAGGGUGGCGGAACUGGUAGACGCGCUAGACUUAGGAUCUAGUGGGGCAACCCGUGGGGGUUCGAGUCCCCCCUCUCGCA